rnacentral:rRNA from 1 species
CUCAAAGAUUAAGCCAUGCAUGUCUAAGUAUAACCUGCCAGACAGGGAAACUGCGUACGGCUCAUUACACCAGCCUUAAUUUACUUGACCUUGACAACCUACUUGGAUAACUGUGGUAAUUCUAGAGCUAAUACAUGCACCAAAGCUCCGAUCCUCGCGGAGAGGAGCGCAUUUGUUCGCCACAAAACCAAGCGCCCUUCUGGGCGUCCAUUGCUGAACCAGAACAACUCAGCUGAUCGCACGGUCUUGCACCGGCGACGUGUCUUUCAAGUGUCUGCCUUAUCAACUUUCGAUGGUAGUGUACCUGACUACCAUGGUUGUGACGGGUAACGGAGGAUAAGGGUUCGACUCCGGAGAAGGGGCCUGAGAAAUGGCCACUACGUCUAAGGAUGGCAGCAGGCGCGCAAAUUACCCACUCUCAACGCGAGGAGGUAGUGACGAGAAAUAACAAGACCGUUCUCUUACGAGGCCGGUUAUUGGAAUGGGUACAAUUUAAACCCUUUAACGAGUAUCUAUGAGAGGGCAAGUCUGGUGCCAGCAGCCGCGGUAAUUCCAGCUCUCAAAAUGCAUAGAAUUAUUGCUGCGGUUAAAAAGCUCGUAGUUGGAUCUGUGCCGACUGGCCGGUCCACCCUCUGGGUGCGCACUGGUUCGGUUGGCUUUUCCGCCGGAGUGCCUGGCGUUGGUGUGCUCGCGAGGGUGUGCCAGCGCGGGUCCGGCAAGUUUACUUUGAACAAAUCAGAGUGCUUCAAACAGGCGUCUCGCCUGAAUGUUCGUGCAUGGAAUAAUAGAAGAGGAUUUCGGUCCGAUUUUAUUGGUUUUGCUGACCGAGAUAAUGGUUAACAGAGACAAACGGGGCCAUUCGUAUUGCUGCGUGAGAGGUGAAAUUCUUGGACCGUAGCAAGACGGACUACAGCGAAAGCAUUUGGCAAGAAUGUCUUCAUUAAUCAAGAACGAAAGUCAGAGGUUCGAAGGCGAUCAGAUACCGCCCUAGUUCUGACCGUAAA